GAAACUUAAAGGAAUUGGCGGGGGAGCACUACAACCGGAGGAGCCUGCGGUUUAAUCGGACUCAACGCCGGACAUCUCACCAGCACCGACAGUGUGCAGUGAAGAUCAGGUUGAUGACCUUAUUGGAGCCACUGAGAGGAGGUGCAUGGCCGCCGUCAGCUCGUACCGUGAGGCUUCCUUGUUAAGUCAGGCAACGAGCGAGACCCGCAUCCCUAGUUGCCAGCAGCACGCUUGUCGUGGCUGGGUACACUAGGGAGACUGCCGCUGCUAAAGCGGAGGAAGGAACGGGCAACGGUAGGUCAGUAUGCCCCGAAUGUGCUGGGCAACACGCGGGCUACAAUGGCCGGGACAGUGGGACGCCACCCCGAGAGGGGGCGCUAAUCUCCUAAACCCGGUCGUAGUUCGGAUUGCGGACUGAAACUCGUCCGCAUGAAGCUGGAUUCGGUAGUAAUCGCGUGUCAUAAGCGCGCGGUGAAUACGUCCCUGCUCCUUGCACACACCGCCCGUCAAAGCACCCGAGUGAGGUCCGGAUGAGGCCACCAUGCGGUGGUCGAAUCUGGGCUUCGCAAGGGGGCUUAAGUCGUAACAA
rnacentral:rRNA from 1 species